rnacentral:rRNA from 1 species
AUUGAACGCUGGCGGCAGGCCUAAUACAUGCAAGUCGAACGAGUGGCGGACGGGUGAGUAAUGUCUGGGAAACUGCCUGAUGGAGGGGGAUAACUACUGGAACCGGUAGCUAAUACCGCAUACCCUCGGAUGUGCCCAGAGGGGAUUAGCUAGUAGGGGGGGUAAAGGCUCACCUAGGCGACGAUCCCUAGCUGGUCUGAGAGGCUGACCAGCCACACUGGGACUGAGACACGGCCCAGACUCCUACGGGAGGCAGCAGUGGGGAAUAUUGCACAAUGGGCGAAAGCCUGAUGCAGCCAUGCCGCGUGUAUGAAGAAGGUCUUCGGGUUGUAAAGUACUUUCAGCGGGGAGGCGGUACCCGAAGAGGAAGCAACGGCUAACUCCGUGCCAGCAGCCGCGGUAAUAC